ACGUCAAGCUUUGCCGAACUGCAUUGUAGUUCCGUCGCGUCGCUUUGCCUCCGUUGCUCGUGCUGAAAGUUGAGAAAAUUUCAACUUUUCAGGCCAGCGAGCCAUUU